rnacentral:rRNA from 1 species
GAGGAAUAUUGGUCAAUGGACGAGAGUCUGAACCAGCCAAGUAGCGUGAAGGAUGAAGGUUCUAUGGAUUGUAAACUUCUUUUAUACGGGAAUAAACGAAUCCACGCGUGGAUUUUUGCAUGUACCGUAUGAAUAAGGAUCGGCUAGCUCCGUGCCAGCAGCCGCGGUAAUACGGAGGAUCCGAGCGUUAUCCGGAUUUAUUGGGUUUAAAGGGAGCGUAGAUGGGUUGUUAAGUCAGUUGUGAAAGUUUGCGGCUCAACCGUAAAAUUGCAAUUGGUACUGGCAGUCUUGAGUACAGUUGAGGUAGGCGGAAUUCGUGGUGUAGCGGUGAAAUGCUUAGAUAUCACGAAGAACUCCGAUUGCGAAGGCAGCUUACUAACCUGUAACUGACAUUGAUGCUCGAAAGUGUGGAUAUCAAACAGGAUUAGAUACCCUGGUAGUCCACACGGUAAACGAUGAAUACUCGCUGUAGGCGAUAUACGGUCUGCGGCCAAGCGAAAGCAUUAAGUAUUCCACCUGGGGAGUACGCCGGCAACGGUGAAACUCAAAGGAAUUGACGGGGGCCCGCACAAGCGGAGGAACAUGUGGUUUAAUUCGAUGAUACGCGAGGAACCUUACCCGGGCUUAAAUUGCAACCGAAUAUGGCGGAAACGCCAUAGCUAGCAAUAGCGGUUGUGAAGGUGCUGCAUGGUUGUCGUCAGCUCGUGCCGUGAGGUGUCGGCUUAAGUGCCAUAACGAGCGCAACCCUUGCCGAUAGUUACUAACAGGUUAUGCUGAGGACUCUGUCGGGACUGCCAUCGUAAGAUGUGAGGAAGGUGGGGAUGACGUCAAAUCAGCACGGCCCUUACGUCCGGGGCUACACACGUGUUACAAUGGGGGGUACAGAGGGCUGCUACCACGCAAGUGGAUGCCAAUCCCAAAAACCUCUCUCAGUUCGGAUUGAAGUCUGCAACCCGACUUCAUGAAGCUGGAUUCGCUAGUAAUCGCGCAUCAGCCACGGCGCGGUGAAUACGUUCCCG